rnacentral:rRNA from 1 species
CGCGUAGGCGGUUAGAUAAGUCGGAUGUGAAAGCCCCGGGCUUAACCUGGGAAUUGCAUUCGAUACUGUCUGGCUAGAGUAUGGUAGAGGGAAGUGGAAUUCCGGGUGUAGCGGUGAAAUGCGUAGAUAUCCGGAGGAACACCAGUGGCGAAGGCGGCUUCCUGGACCAAUACUGACGCUGAGGUGCGAAAGCGUGGGGAGCAAACA